GAUUCAGCUCUCCCGGGUUCUGUGACAACAGAUGCAUCGUGAGGCUGCUGCCUACCCGCUGCCCACAAAAUGUCCUCUUUAUAAACUACUAUAUUAUUUAUGAAUCAGAAAAGUUUCAAAGAAGGGCCCCAUCCGACGACUGCUCACUGAUGAAUUUACAGCAGAGACUUUUACUCUCAUUUUAUGAGCUUCUUGGAGAGAAGGGUUAGUGUCUCAGAGUCUGGAUCUGUCCCCUGGUUAAUAUAUCUAUUUCUCAGCACCAUGUACUCACAAGACCUUGUCAUACAGACUGCAGUGACCACCCUCAAGAAACAGUGACUAUCAAGAGAUUAAAAUGCAGAGUUGAGGAGCCCAGUCCCAAGUGAUACAUUUACACUGCUGUAACUGAGUUUCAUGGAUCAUUGCAGAAGAGGAAGUGGAACGAUUUUAAGAGCCAGAGGAAUGGAGUUUGCUGGGAGAUUGUGUCUCUGAAAAUGUCAAAACUUAUACUCAUAAAGUCUCAACAACAUGGCUACCUGAACAAGACCUGAAUACUCAUGGUACCAGUAGAUAUCCUAAAGUGGAUGGAGGAAAGUUCUGGAAGCCUCAAUCUUCACAAAGAACUCUAGGGAAGUAAUGAAUGCUGAGAGUGGGAGAAGGAGUCUUCUCUACAGAAGACCUCACCAACUGAGCACUCACCACCAAGGAGUCAGCAUCACCGAACACUCAUACAAGUAACACUAUGUAUAAGACUGGGGCAACGUAGCCAUAAUUGCUGCAUUAAAGCUUUAAUGAAAGAAAAAAGCCGCAGAUCAAGAUGACAUGCAACGUCUACAUUUGCACCGUGGCGCUCUGCUUGUUUAGUAAUGGGAAGCUACUGAGGAGAUUAAAAUUGCAGAAUUCUUCAUAGUUUGUUCUGAAAUUGCUAUAGGAAGAUCAUUCGGGGUCUAAAAUACACACAAUUUAUUUUUCCACCUUCAAUUUGCAAGAAUUUAAUGGCUUUCCUAACUAGUAGGUGGUUGGAGAUAUGCUUUAUAUUGAAGAGAAAACUACUUCGGAUCAUAAAAAUGAUCAGAAGUGAGUGGAUCAGAAUUUUAAACCUCCAGCGAUUUCCGGAGUGUGUUAGAAGAUUGCCCAAGUAUCAUACUAUAGUUUGUGCUUACUUGCUGUGCUAUAAGAAGCUGCUGGCUUCAAAAUAUCAACAGGUUGGUUUAUAAUAUUGUAUUUCUAUGUUUUUCAGUUUUCUUUUUUUUUUAAUCACCUCCAAUAACGUCAGGAACUAGUAUAACGGACAGCUCCUGUACAGAGGCAAUGCUGGGCCAGCUGCUAACUGACUUGUAGGGCAAUUUAGGUUGCUUGUAUGUUUGUUUUUUUAAUAGCUUCCAACGAGCUCCUUCCUUCUAAGUUUGAAGUUUUCUUCAUAUCUUAACUCCAUAUAGGUUGGCCAUAUUUUCUGCAAACCAUUCCUGGCAAAUAACGUCAGCAGAGACCGAACCCUUCAGCAUGUGUCCCAGCUCUGAACAGUGGGAAUAAGCUAAACACAACAGCAAGAAAGUAACAAGAUCCUUAGUCCCAGGGGCUAAGGGAGAAGUAGCCAUAUAUUUACAUGCAUGCUAUUUGUGUGAACUUUGCCUCAUUUUGC
rnacentral:lncRNA from 1 species